CAUAUUCUGUAGAAUCAACACAAAGCUGCUUAUCCAACUGAAAAAAAAAAGUAACACGACUUUUUAAACUCGACAGAAGACAUAGAAAGAAGCAAAUAAAGCAAAAUAUUCAGAUGUGAAAAGAGUGGUCGUUACAGGUCAUUUAUCAUGAACCAGAUUAGAAAGGAAGCAAGCUUGGACUCUCAAGGACAAGGAUCAGUAUGUUCUUUGGGCAACUCCCGCCUCACGUUAGACUCUCGAGACACAGUGUUGUCUUUGAAGUCAGCUUCAUUUGACCAAGUGGAUGAAAGCAUCCAAGUAGACCUAUCAGCUGAUACCAUUACUUACGACUCGGAUGAUGAAAUGGUGAAAAGAAGGGUUAACAUCCUUCGCAAUAAGAAAGGCCACCCAAUCUACUCUCGGGAAGACAUAAGAGAGCAAUACUGUAUUAAUAGAAAAGAAGCAGAAGUUUUAGAAAAUGCACGCACGAGUCGAAUGUUCGGUUGUCUCAGAGGUCAACAAGAUACGUCGUGUAGUAGGUCUUCGUUCUUUUCCUGUAUGUCAAAGAAGAAGGCUUCCAGCGUUGAAAAUGUUAGUAAACCUUUAUACUUUUAUAGAAAGCAAGAAAGACAAAGUGAAACAGGUGGCGUAGAUAAAGGAAGCGCCCACGGUAAAGGUGAAGGAAAGAUGGUGUUAGCUAAUUCAGUAAACGAUGAAGAUGAUGAUGACAAUGAAGAGUUUGCUAAAGCUGGAUUUCGUAGAAGACCAAAAUCGUUCUGUGCUUAUGAUCCAAAAGUUCGUUUAGCUGGGAUUGAUAAGAGUUCUGAUGACCAAAGUGUUUGUGUAGCUACAACCAAACUAUUUUCUUCUUUUAGUGCGAUAAGUGCAAAUCAGAACACUGUUAACACUGAGUCUGCACAAAUAGAGCAAUCACGCGAUUCAAUGGUAGGAAAACAGGCUGAUACUAACUCAACUCCUAGUUUAACACCAGACAUAAUUAAAGAUUCUGAAACUGUAGAACCUAGUUUGGAAUGGAAAGCUUCUAAAGCAGACGAGCUGUCUCUGGAUGAACGUAGGCAAAAACAUGUUAGUUUUGAUUCGGCUUCUCUCAUGCGUAAUCAUACUGUUGCCAAAUUGGUACAGAGCGAAAGUGGUCCAUUAGCAACAUCAACGCCUUUAAGUCAACAAAAAUUAUCUUGUAUUACAAAAGAACAAAGUAGGUCUCAAGAACGACUGUUAGAUACACCACUAAAGAAAGCCCCACAAACAGAAGACUCUAUUGUGGAUAGCACCACACAUUACGAUUCAUACCCUGGGCUGGGUUCGUCAUCUUUGACAGGCAGUGUUAUUCAGCUUAGACCAAGAAGAGCCCCCACGAAGACACAGGCAACACAAACAGAUAAAUCAGCAGCCAAUCGAAUACGCAUUCCAGCAUAUCUCACUCUAUCUCCUCGAGCGUCCGUUCCUCUGAGGCAGAGACAUCGAGGAGUACAACACAGAGGAAUAAGUAAACUGACUAAAAGCCAAUCUUCCUACGGAAACUUAGGAAGUGAUGAAGAAAGUGACGAGGACGUCAUGGAAAUAGAUGUUUUAUCAAAACACCAUCGGUUUAUUCGUCCUUUGAGAGGAAGAACCAUCUCGAAACAACGUUCCAUUGAUCUCUCUUCGGAGGAAAUAAUAGUUUCAUUCAAACCGAAUUCUCCUAUAACCAGAGGGUUUUUAUCAAAAAAUGUUUCUUCUUCUAUUUCUAAUGCAGAAACAAAUAGUGAAAAGCGUUUCAUAGAGCCGACAAAUCAACAGAAAUUGUUAAGUCACUCUAGUGUGCAUAAUCAAACUCCAAGAGAACUUUCAAUUUCAUCUUCAGUGGGUGUGAUACGAAAGAAGAGGAUUCCUUUAUCCCGCUCUUUAGCAAAUGAUGGUGAAGAGUUUAUUAUAGACGUGUCCUCUUCCAGCGCAAAAAGUAAAGUUUCGAAAGAAAGAAAAGUACCAGUAAGACGGCAUUCAACUAUUGAGCAUGAACCUUCACAAAUUGUGAAUAACCCUACUUCUUUGUAUUCUAUUGAAAAAUCAAAUACUAUGGCUUCCUCAGCAACCAAAACCGGAAUAAGGUUUGAAAACUCUGUAUCAUAUAAUCCACAUCAAAAUAUCGAAGAAAAUUUCAGCCUAGCUAUAGAUGAUAUCCACUUCCUAAGAACAGAUACGGAAGGUUUUUCUGUGUUCAGUGAUGAAUCACCAACGAUGACAUCAGACGUAGUGCUAUAUGACAGAAAACCUAACCAACUACUUCAGACAAAGGCAUCUUCCAAGUCACCAAUAAAAGAAAGGUAUCCACCAGAUACUUUCGUAAGAAGAAUUGAUCAACAAGAGAUCUUAACCUCUCCAGAAAGUGAAUCAUCCAGCAGUCAUUUUACUGAACGUGAGACGUCUCAGAGUGAUGUGUCAACUAGUAGCUCGUACUGGCUAGCAAAAAAAGAAGUAUCUCUUAGGACCGAAACCGAAUGUGAAGAGGCAAGCGAAAGCUCUGAAUACAUGACGGCCAAUGAACACUCGAGCAGAGACAAAGGACUUGGCAUGAAUAAAAUGUUGUUUCAUAAGAAAAUUACAGAUUCAAACGAUAUUUGCCAAAACUCGUUUGAAAGUACAUCUUCAUCGGCUAGUGUUUUUGGUUCUCCCUCUUCACGAUUUAGUAACCAAAGAACAUCUAGCUCAUUUUCUCCGAAAGAAGUUCAAAAAGAAUUAACACCUCAGCAACCCGAUUGGAACUUUGAAAACAAACAUAACAAUUCUGAAGAAGAAAUUCCGUUAGAUGAAACAAUAAACGAAAACCUGGAUUCUUCAGAUGAUUCAACUAAGAAGGGUCUUCUAAGUUCUGACUCUGAACUUCAGGAGAUAACACAUACUUUGUGUAAAGUGGAAGUACAGUCAUUCUCUCAGAAAGAAAACGCCAAAGAAUUUCCACCAAAGCUAGAAUAUUCACCUGAUCACUCAAGUUUACUUGAAGCUACAACAGUCAUCGAAAAAAGUGAUGGCACUUCGGAAGAUUUAGUGGAAUCUUUGCAUGACUCACCUACUCACAAAUUUUUAGCUACUGGUGAUCAUGAAUUGUCUUACGAGGAACAUUCUAACAGAGAGAGUGCAGAAAAAAAUAAAUUUUCAGAUGAGAAACAAGUACUUCGUUUUCCAAAAGAACAAGUUUUUACUGUUACAGAAGUCUCAGAAACACUGUCAGAAUCUGAAAAAUAUUGUCGUUUUCCAAAAGAACAACUUUUUACUGUUACAGAAGUCUCAGAAACACUGUCAGAAUCUGAAAAAUAUUGUAUUAAAACAGAUGAAUUCAUACCGGUUACUAUUAAACACGAUAUAGAAAACAGUGAAAAAUCUUCUAGUUUAAAUCUACGAAAUCUCUCCACGACAACUGAAUAUUUUCAGUCAGAAACAACAACCCCAUCUUUCGACAGCACAACUUCUGGUAGCUGUUUUGUGGAUAACGUUUUCGAAACUGAUCCAGAAUGUUCACAUUCACAAGGCGAGGAAGGGGCAGUUGAAAGCGAAAAUCGGUUGAAUCUGGACAUUGAAGUAACCGAUCCUCCUCGAUCAUUUGAAGAUAAUGUAGAUCUUCAAGGGAUGGAGACUUCCAUUAACACUGAAAACCUAGAACAGCACUUAGAAAGAACAUCUUCGCCAAAACCAGAUGAUGUCAGCUCUGUAAGUUUAAAUAUGGAGAAAGACAUUAUUUCAAGCAGAACAACGAGUGUUACUGAAUCUGUCCUUGAAACAGACUCAAAAGAUUCUCCAGCAACUUCAGCAACUUCUUUUCGAAAAGAAAGUCAGGUUUCUGUUAAAAAGAAGAAUCCAGAUGUCGUUAGGAAAAAGGAUCGUUUCAGAGUAACAAUCAACACAACCGAACCUCAAGAAGAAACACGCCGAAACAAUCCACUUCGCAGGUCACACUCUUUAAACAGGGGAACUGACACUCUAGAGGAAUGUCCUCCUUUCUUUCUGUGUAGCCAUUGUGGAGAAAGAGUUAAAGAUCAGAACAGAAGUUUCUCCUCUUUUAGUGGUGACCGGCUUUAUUCCAAACAAAGGUGGGAUUUUCCACAGACCGCUGAUCCUUCUAUUUUAAGAAAACAACAGGAACGAGAUAGACAGAGAUUUACUGGAACAAAAGAUAUUUUUUCUUUUCCACAUUCCAGGCUGCAAAGAUGGUGUGAGGGGUCCACUGCCAUAGAUGAGGAUGUGCUUGAAGAGGACGAUGAAGAUAGAGGCCUUCAUCUGGAGGGUUAUCACCUGUCUCUAUGGAUUUUUGUUGGAGAAGAAGAGGAGUUAGCCGUGUGGAAACAACUUGUAGAUUCUAAUAAGGAAGCUCCAUUGGAUUCUGAGGCUGUUGCUUUGGUUACUAGACCAACAUUACAUAGAUCAGAAUCGAGUGAUUCUACGUCAUCAGAGCGUGAAUUUCGAAACCAGUACCAAUCAGUAACUCAUAGACUCAUACAUCGGAAAUCUAGCAUGGAAUUAUAUAAACGUCUGUCCACGCACACGCUUGAAAGAAGCUCAGUAUACGCCAGCAGACAUUGAACAAAUGUAAAAUUCUAAAAGAACCAUAUUUUCAAGUAUUCCCUUUUAGAGAAUGUAGUAUAAAGCCUAAAAGGUCACGUUUCGAAAAAUUAUUUCAUAAAUUUUUGACGCCAUUUUAAAUGGAUAGAGGUAGGAGAGCAGAAGUAACAGCAGUUGAGUAAAAUUAGUUGGAAUUGUGCAACGGUACACAUUAUUACUAGGAAUCACAGAAAUGACGUUAAAAGGUUGAUAAGACGGUCACGGUGCAACGGAGCAAUGAUGAGUUCGGAUUUCGAAUC
rnacentral:misc_RNA from 1 species